AUUAAGGUAGCAAAGCUGGGCCAUGCAACAGGCUUAAAACCUAUACACAGAUGUUCAAAUCAUCUCCUUAAUA
rnacentral:tRNA from 1 species